GGGGAAGCAUUGGACAUUCAACGGAAAGGUGCACGUCCUUUAAAUUCAAAGUACAAUCUCUAAUUGAUGCAGGAUGACUAAAGUUCCAAGAGGACAAACCUAGUGUUGAAGUCAAUUCCCUUGUCGAGCAUGGAAAUACCUCAACAAAUGCCAUCGAGGUUUGACGACACAAGCUAGUAAGGGAUGUAAGUGGAACUCGAAGUUCUGAAAGGGUCAAUUGCCCCCCUUUUUCAGUGCAAAAUCUCGCAUGUAAC
rnacentral:lncRNA from 1 species